rnacentral:rRNA from 1 species
AGUGAACGCUGGCGGUAGGCCUAACACAUGCAAGUCGAACGGCAGCACAGUAAGAUCUUGCUCUUACGGGUGGCGAGUGGCGGACGGGUGAGGAAUACAUCGGAAUCUACUUUUUCGUGGGGGAUAACGUAGGGAAACUUACGCUAAUACCGCAUACGACCUACGGGUGAAAGCAGGGGACCUUCGGACCUUGCGCGACUGAAUGAGCCGAUGUCGGAUUAGCUAGUUGGCGGGGUAAAGGCCCACCAAGGCGACGAUCCGUAGCUGGUCUGAGAGGAUGAUCAGCCACACUGGAACUGAGACACGGUCCAGACUCCUACGGGAGGCAGCAGUGGGGAAUAUUGGACAAUGGGCGCAAGCCUGAUCCAGCCAUACCGCGUGAGUGAAGAAGGCCUUCGGGUUGUAAAGCCCUUUUGUUGGGAAAGAAAAGCAGCAGGUUAAUACCCCGCUGUUCUGACGGUACCCAAAGAAUAAGCACCGGCUAACUUCGUG